AGUCUUUAUGACUCAUGAAACCGAUAAACUUUGCUAUAAAUACCUCCCCCAACGAACCGAUAUUUCAAGUUGCCUUGUCGCUGUUGCAGCGCGCACAUCGCGCGCUGCAUCAACGAUAAGUUACUUCCACAAUUUGCAACUUCUACACUCCAAUCAUCAGAUUUCGGCCCUUUCAUGUGACGGCUCCCUCGGAGACUAUGCCUUCCGGUUGCGAUGCGCCUGCCCUCGGUGAACACUGGGGGUAAGAGGUCCAGCCAACAACAUCGGCUGGAUUUCCCUUGGCACUUUCCUCACUUGUGGUGACCUUGUCUUCGGGCGUGGUCCCAUGAGUGAGGCAAGGGCCUUGUGUGAAAACUCUAUAAAUCUCUCAAAAAUCCAUCUACAAAGCCAUCAAAACAAUUUCAUAUUUCAUUAUCAUCCAACAAACAAAUGCCAAACUUUGUUUUCAUAUAUUGCACGUGUGCUGUAAUCAGUGUACGUGCAAUUUCAUCAGCCCAGACGCAUUAGCACUACACCCGAAGUGAGCAUUUUUUUCCUUAUCAAUUAUGUUCGCUUCGGGUUGACCGUUAUUGCGGUCUCGGGCACUCAUUGUUCUUGAUUGGCCACCGCUGGGUUAGGUGCUACCAAUUGGCGCUUGCAUAUUUGAAGAGUGAGGACUUGUUACCCAAAUCUUCAGCUAUCAGCCUUCAGCAUACAUCAUCGAAAAUGGAACAUGGGAUCUUCAAUCCAGUCGAAUCAUAACCAGUCUUCAACGAACAGGAUUCCAUUUUUUAAAACUUACAAAAUUGUUUCAAAUUCCCGGAGUGCAAAAGUUGCAAACUGUGUAUUCACUUAACUAUGUAAUUCGAAUAAAUAAUUUAGUAUUUAA